AAUGAACGUUGGCGGCGUGGAUUAGGCAUGCAAGUCGUACGGGUUCGCCGCAAGGCGGGUCCGUGGCGCAAGGGUGAGUAAUGCGACGGCAAUCAACCCCGAAGAUGGGCAUAGCCGCGGGAAACUGCGGGUAAUACCCAGCGAUGCGUCGAGGAGGCAUCUUCUUGACGCCAAAUGGUGUGAUUCCGCUUUGGGACGGACCGUCGUGGUAUUAGGUAGUUGGCGGGGUAACGGCCCACCAAGCCUACGAUGCCUACCGGGCGUGCGAGCGUGGCCCGGCACACUGGGACUGAGACACUGCCCAGACUCCUACGGGAGGCUGCAGUCGAGAAUCUUCGGCAAUGGGCGAAAGCCUGACCGAGCGACGCCGCGUGGAGGAUGAAGGCCUUCGGGUUGUAAACUCCUGUCGCAGGGGAGCAAGGGCCGGCGAAGAGCCGGUCUUGACCGAUCCUGGGAGGAAGCACGGGCUAAGUUCGUGCCAGCAGCCGCGGUAAGACGAACCGUGCGAACGUUAUUCGGAAUCACUGGGCUUAAAGCGCGUGUAGGCGGGUCGACGCAUCGGUCGUUGAAGUCCCCCGGCUCAACCGGGGAACUGGCGCCGAGAUGGUCGAUCUGGAGGGGAGCAGGGGGACCUGGAACUUCCGGUGGAGCGGUGAAAUGCGUUGAGAUCGGAAGGAACGCCCGUGGCGAAAGCGAGGUCCUGGACGUCUGCUGACGCUGAGACGCGAAAGCUAGGGGAGCAAACGGGAUUAGAUACCCCGGUAGUCCUAGCCGUAAACGAUGGGCACUGGGUAGGGGGCUCGCCGAUGGGCUCUCUGCCGUAGCGAAAGCGUGAAGUGCCCCGCCUGGGGAGUAUGGUCGCAAGGCUG
rnacentral:rRNA from 1 species